rnacentral:rRNA from 1 species
AACGAACGCUGGCGGCAUGCCUAACACAUGCAAGUCGAACGAGACCUUCGGGUCUAGUGGCGCACGGGUGCGUAACGCGUGGGAACCUGCCCUUAGGUUCGGAAUAACUCUCCGAAAGGGGUGCUAAUACCGGAUAAUGUCUUCGGACCAAAGAUUUAUCGCCUUUGGAUGGGCCCGCGUUGGAUUAGCUAGUUGGUAGGGUAAAAGCCUACCAAGGCGACGAUCCAUAGCUGGUCUGAGAGGAUGAUCAGCCACACUGGGACUGAGACACGGCCCAGACUCCUACGGGAGGCAGCAGUGGGGAAUAUUGGACAAUGGGCGAAAGCCUGAUCCAGCAAUGCCGCGUGAGUGAUGAGGGCCUUAGGGUUGUAAAGCUCUUUUACCCGGGAUGAUAAUGACAGUACCGGGAGAAUAAGCUCCGGCUAACUCCGUG